GACGAACGCUGGCGGCGUGCCUAAUACAUGCAAGUUGAGCGCUGAAGGUUGGUACUUGUACCAACUGGAUGAGCAGCGAACGGGUGAGUAACGCGUGGGGAAUCUGCCUUUGAGCGGGGGACAACAUUUGGAAACGAAUGCUAAUACCGCAUAAAAACUUUAAACACAAGUUUUAAGUUUGAAAGAUGCAAUUGCAUCACUCAAAGAUGAUCCCGCGUUGUAUUAGCUAGUUGGUGAGGUGAAGGCUCACCAAGGCGAUGAUACAUAGCCGACCUGAGAGGGUGAUCGGCCACAUUGGGACUGAGACACGGCCCAAACUCCUACGGGAGGCAGCAGUAGGGAAUCUUCGGCAAUGGACGAAAGUCUGACCGAGCAACGCCGCGUGAGUGAAGAAGGUUUUCGGAUCGUAAAACUCUGUUGGUAGAGAAGAACGUUGGUGAGAGUGGAAAGCUCAUCAAGUGACGGUAACUACCCAGAAAGGGACGGCUAACUACGU
rnacentral:rRNA from 1 species